UACGUAGGGGGGCGAGCGUUGUCCGGAUUUAUUGGGCGUAAAGAGCUCGUAGGCGGUUUGGCAAGUCGGGUGUGAAAACUCCGGCUCAACUCGGAGACGCCACUCGAUACUGCCAUGACUCGAGUCCGGUAGGGGAGUGCGGAAUUCCUGGUGUAGCGGUGAAAUGCGCAGAUAUCAGGAGGAACACCGGUGGCGAAGGCGGGUCUCUGGGCCGAUAUUGACGCUGAGGAGCGAAAGCGUGGGGAGCGAACAGG
rnacentral:rRNA from 1 species